ACUUUCUGCUCUUGGGAUGGCUAUUUCCACAGUGGUUACCAUUGCUGAAAUUCUGAAGAACAAUGGAUUUGCUGUUGAGAAGAAGAUCAGGACACUCACUGUGGACAUGAGGGACGAACCAGGAGCCCGACCAAUACCAAAAGCAAAGAUUGAAAUAGUGCUGGGCAAGACUGAGAAGUUUGAUGAGUUAAUGGCUGCAGAAGCCGAGCAAAACGGGGACAAUGAGGAGCAGCAGAACUGAUUAUUUCCAAAUCUGUUCUCUUCCUGACUAUUGAAGUUAUUCCAAUCUAUACUGCAUUCAGCUGUUGGGUUCUCUAUGGCCUUUAAUUUGAUCUUUUGGAAAGUUUUUUUUUAAAAAAAAAGCAGCAUGGUUUACUUUAAAAUUCAUCAUUUGUUGGAUG
rnacentral:misc_RNA from 1 species